AUGUUGUGUGAAAUGAGAGGUUAGCACUCUCCUUGAGAAGGAUGUAAGAGGUCCUAGUGGCCUUUAGAACACAUAUACAAUUAAAACAUUGCCACCUACUCUGGAGCAUCUAACCCAUUUGA